rnacentral:rRNA from 1 species
AUUGAACUCUGGCGGCAGGCCUAACACAUGCAAGUCGAACGAGUGGCGGACGGGUGAGUAAUGUCUGGGAAACUGCCUGAUGGAGGGGGAUAACUACUGGAAACGGUAGCUAAUACCGCAUACCAUCGGAUGUGCCCAGAUGGGAUUAGCUAGUGGGUGGGGUAAAGGCUCACCUCGGCGCCGAUCCCUAGCUGGUCUGAGAGGAUGACCAGCGACACGGGAACUGAGACACGGUCGAGACUCCUGCGGGAGGCAGCAGUGGGGAAUAUGGCACAAUGGGCGGAAGCCUGAUGCAGCCAGGCCGCGUGGAUGAAGAAGGCCUUCGGGUUGUAAAGUACUUUCAGCUGGGAGGCGUUACCCGCAGAAGAAGCACCGGCUAACUCCGGGCCAGCAGCCGCGGUAAUAC